rnacentral:rRNA from 1 species
AUGGUUAUCACCUUUGAUAUUCGUCCAGAAGAUGAUAUUGAAGCUUAUUUCCAUUCAAGCAAACAUGCCUGGCGCUUGGUAGACAGGACCGUCCACUGUCCCGGGGCUGAACUAAACUGCGAGGAGGCAAGUCAUUAUGUUUCAUGGCUUGAUAAUCUUGAUGCUUUCAAGAGAAAUUAUUUUCCUGAAUUUGAAAAUCUUAGUACUCAAAACGUGCGACCAAUAGUGAUCGUAUUGAACUACGGUCACAUCUAUUUAGGAAAGAUGGGACUCCCGAUGACAGUUGUGCCUCAGUGGAUCGAGACUAAAGGUCGCAUGUCAAUGGUGAUUUGCUUUUGUGGUGUUAUGAACGCUUAUAAUAUCAUGACCAUGUUGAACUCGAUGUCUGCACUAGUGCAGGGUCUCUCGCUUGUGAUGGAUAAUCAGACACAGGCUGCCUUCACCAGUCUUGUGCAAUGGAAUGUGGGAGAUGGGCGACGAAUCUUAUUCUAG